GUGUUGCCCAGAUAGACAACCCAAGAGGGGGGGUGAAUUGGGUUUUAAAAUAAUUUUGCAAUUAAAACGUUGUGGAUGACUAAUUAAUGCUUUACCAAGAUGGUUAAUUAAUUGCUAUGUGCUGUGAAUGAAAUGAGAGUAAAAGAAAGAGACAAACAAUCACAAACACAAGGCUUUUAUAGUGGUUCGGAGCUAACCCUUGCUCCUACGUCUAC
rnacentral:lncRNA from 1 species